GCCGGUCCGACGCCCCGAGACCGGAUCCCGUCCCGGUCUUGGGGCGUUGCGCUUCAUUCAAGUCAUUGAAAGUGCUUGGAAAAGUACUGAUCGCCCCACGAAUGGAUUUCAUUCGUGAAUGAAAGGAACAUGAAAGGGUGAACAGUGUGUGUGGCGCGGAUCGCCUUUUCACAGGUUAAGACUGUGUUAGCAUCCGUUCCCUAAUUUGGCUGCUGCCCCUUACAGGUACCAAAAAAAUGAUCAAGCAGCGUACGCUCAAGAACAUCAUUCGCGCCACAGGCGUCGGUCUGCAUACCGGCGACAAGGUGU
rnacentral:sRNA from 1 species